rnacentral:lncRNA from 1 species
AUUACACUGAAUAUACACCUAAUGCUUCCUUAUUUUCCACUUCAAUAAAAAUUUUUCCUGGUUUCACUGGUCAAUACUUAUUUAUGUAGGAAAUCUUUAUGAUGUAUAUUUUCAAGGAAUAUUUAGAUUUAAACUUGGUACUCUGGUACCUCCAGAGGUGAUAUAACCUUUGAGACAUUGGUGCAUCAAUAUCUUUUAAUCACUUAAAACCACUGAAUACUUCCUGGGAUCUGAGAUUUAGAAAGUGAUGAGCUGGCUUAGCAAAAUCAUAGCUAAUCAUCAACCAACUGUUCUUAUUUCACAGGACACAUGAAUUAGCAAAGUCUUCUGGGGAUUCCACAUUGUCUGAAAGAGAAUGCAUUUUGCUUGGAAGGACUUUGUGCUAAUCACGGAGUUCCUAGGGCAAAGGGAAUAAAUUCUGGAAACUUCUUUGCCUUUGAAGUUUAAGAAGUGAUCUAUUGUGGGAACUGAGCGGCCCUAACCAGCCAAACCAGAACUGUUUCUAAGACCUACAUAACCUCUUCCAGGGCUACUUAUUUCCAAUUCAACUGUUAAAUUCAAGACUCUGGAUUAUGUACAGUGGAAAUGCAUGGAAGAAAAAGCUACCCAGGAGGACCUAAUAGUCCCUGAGCAGAGGCAGAGACAUUUUCUCUGUUGAAACAGGAUUGAGUCAAGAAGCCAAAGACCAGGCCUGUCACCCACCCCUACACGCAGUCAGCACAUCGCCUUUCAACUUUGGUCCAUGGAGCUGCUGCUGCCAAACCCCAACCUGCUGGCUUCUCAAAUUCUGCCACUUCUUGGAUCAGGGCCCCUUAAUCAGGCAUCAUUUCAAGGCUGAGAAUGAGGUUCCAAGGUUGAAGAGUCAAAUAUUGGUUCUCUGUGGGUACAUGAAAUGAGUUUUUCUUCCCUACCCUGUCUUUUCGUUAUGUCUGUAUCAGUGUCCUGUUGCAGAGAAAAGAAUCUACUCUAGUCAAUAUAACCAGAAGGGAUUUACUUGAGAAUGUUAAAUGCCACACAAGAUCAUUAGGAGUGUUGAAGACCCUGACUCUUGAUGAGGUUUUCAGGAAUCAUUCAGAAAGCUACACUGCAGAACUGGGCUGUCCUUGCCACUGUCCAGAAGCUGUAAGAGCAGGAAACUGCAUAUGACAUCAAGAGGAUNUUAAGGGAGCUGCUGUCCCUGCCACUGUCCAGAAGCUGUAAGAGCAGGAAACUGCAUAUGACAUCAAGAGGAUGAUGCUACAACAUCUGCCAGCUCCAGGGCGACACUACAUCUGCCAAUAGCUGCACCAGUAAAAUGGACUUCUGGUAUCCUGAUUCCCUAGCCAUAUGACUUAGUUUGAAAUAAAAAUUUUGUCCUAGUUCA